AAGUCGUAACAAGGUUUCCGUAGGUGAACCUGCGGAAGGAUCAUUAACACAAUUUUGAUUCACAAAUCUCUUUGCUUCGUUGUUUUUUUUUCUAGAUGCAAGAAAUUGCAGCUAAGAGAAGAGCAACAAGCAAUUAACCCCCUUUCUAUGACGAAAAAUCUUUACAAAAGAAUGGAAGAAAAAGGAAUGUGUUUCGUCACAAUCCGUUUCAACCGUUUUUUUCCUUUACCCAACCUUUUUUUACCCCUUUUACAACAUGUAAUAGACUGAAAACAAAAAUCAUAUUCUAGAUCUCUAGAAUGUAAAACUAAGAAAACAACUCUUAGCAACGGAUAUCUAGGUUCUC
rnacentral:misc_RNA from 1 species